rnacentral:rRNA from 1 species
UACGUAGGGGGCAAGCGUUGUCCGGAAUCAUUGGGCGUAAAGAGCGUGUAGGCGGCCAGAAAAGUCCGCUGUGAAAACUCGAGGCUCAACUUCGAGCUGUCGGUGGAAACUUUCUGGCUAGAGUCCGGAAGAGGAGUGUGGAAUUCCUGGUGUAGCGGUGAAAUGCGCAGAUAUCAGGAGGAACACCAAUGGCGAAGGCAGCACUCUGGGACGUGACUGACGCUGAGACGCGAAAGCGUGGGGAGCAAACAGG